ACCUUGAGGUACUACUAGGCCCACGUGCUCAAACUUGGCCACUGAUCGACCAUUCUCUAAACAGUGAUGCCACUUUCACUGUUCGAUCUAUCAGAAUAACAUCCAAAAUUUUCGGACUACUCGGGUGUUCUCAUAGGCAUCAUGGCUCAACUCUCGCAAUUGACCACACAUAUUGCUCUGAGAGUCGUUUCGCUACUUCUAUCUCUACCGCGAGUCUCACUUCUCGCCAUAGAUUACUUCUAGCACUUCGCUAGUGCCAUCUGGCUCUAUACCUGUACUGGCAGGUACUACGCCCUCAGAUAACACAAAACGCCAUUUCUAGAGCAAUCAAACCUAUCUCUAGAAAUCCACCAUGAGAGAGAGCUUAGAAGCUUACCUCUCCAAGAAGCUCCAACCAAGGAGAAGAUGAAGAAGAUGAGAAAGACCUCCUUCUCCUUCUCCUUCUUUCCUUUCCUUUCUUUUUCCUCUUAUUGUCUUCUAGAGAGAGAAAGAGAGAUAUGAGAGGGUGUGCGGGUGAGAAAUGAGAGAAAAGAGCUCUCAUACUCCUCACAUAGCCCCACGUGUUGCAUAAAUGCAAAUAAGCCCCUCAACUUUCAUCCUUGUGCACAGCCCUCACUGGGCAUUCUGCGCCCAGAGGGACCGGUCUCUCCCUGCCUGGGACCGGUUCCCGAGAGCUUCUCCCGCGGUCUGCGUAGUCUACGCACGAGGCAACCGGUCUCCCCUGAUGGGACCGGUCUGUUGGGGACCGGUCUCUUCCCGCAGGGACCGGUUCCCGAGAGCUGUCCACUAGGGACUUAGCCGAUUUUUCUCUCCUCUUGCUGCCUGCGCGUUCGGGGACCGGUCUUCCCAACCUGGGACCGGUCCACGAGAGCACAAAACCUGCAGUCUUGCAGAUUUUGAUUUCCAAAGCUCUCGAAGAUCCCUAGUAAUGCACUUUUGCAUUAUUUGACGCUUUCGGCCUUUCCGAAGCGUGCCAACCUCGCACUUUGGUCAUUUUGACUAAAGUUCGAUACUUGGUUACCGAAGUUUCGGUAUAUUACAUACCCACUCGACAACUAGCCGAUCCUGGACGAAGCACAACUCUCGGAUUUCGAGAAUUCACUUCCUUACAUGCACAACCUCGACCACGUCCGGCCAAGGUCUCUGCUGAGGCAUUACCCUACCACUCACACGAGAGUGGCCAAUCACUCGCGAAGUCCCAAGUCUCCGCUCGUUUCGGAUUGCUUAGGGACGCCACUCGUCCCAUCCCACGCCGAUCUAGAUUAAGAUCGCCUACGCGGUGCUAUCGCUUCCUAAGACACGACAACUCGGUCGAUUCUCGACCCUCAGGGUCGAGCGCGAAACAACUGACACCGACUCGAAUCGGGCGAAAGUCAUGCAAGGGUGUCUAUUCUCAUCACUCGGUUUCAUGUUGUGUAUACCCAACAUGAACACCCUCGGUUGAGAAUAAACCACACCUCGAGUCUACCUCUAACAUCCGUUUUAGAGGUUUACUAACCUGACCCAAUCGAUCAAUCUUUCGCCAUAAGUCACAAGUCCUCGUCUCUCACGAGCCUUAUUCUCCUAUGGUUUACUAUCCUAGGGUCUCCUAGGUCCGCCUAAACCAUUUCCCAUUCUCUACUUUAUGCUCUGAUACCACUAUUAUCUGUCACGACCCGCGACCACCCGCCUAUUUGGCCGAGGUCGCGGCGCCGCCGACAGACCGCCGAACGGACAGAGUCUCCCCUGUACGUCCUAGGCGUCGCAAUCAAUACAAGUACAAGAAGUUCCAACCAGGAACAGUAUUCAAGCAAGAUUGCAUAAGGAAGGUAUCAAACAACAUAACACAUCCUAUGUUAUUACAAGCAUUCCCAUUAGAUUCAUUUUUACAUCACAUUAGCAUUAUUACAUUACAUUUUCUUCCAAAUACAAUCAAUGAUCGCAAUAUUAUUACAAGUUUGCUCUUUUUCUUUUCCCUCUACCCCUAGGCUAUGCCGACUCGGGGUACCUCUAUCUCUGGUCUCUGGGGUAGGGCGCUAUCUAUGGAGCUACGCCCUCGCCUUGCGCCGCCGCGCCGCUCACGUGCGAACCUGUAACACCCCAAAACAACGUGGGGUGAGAACCAACUCCAUGGUUCCCAGUGGGUACGGCCACCCAAGGGAAAAGCUCGACCAAUAGGUCUAAGGAGGCCCUGCAACAUGUUAGUCCAACAGAUAUCCAACAGAUAUAUAUAUUCAAGUAUUGAAAUACAUGUUGUGCCUCACAAAAUGCAAUAUGAAAUUCAUGCAGUUUAUGCAACCAUGCAACCAACUAGUAGUUCAAUCGAUACUACUUUUAUUCCUGUUAUUCACAGUUCAACCAAUUGACUUCUAAGUUUUCCUCUAUCUUAGAUUCUUGUCAAUUACAAUUCUGCUCAUAGGGUUUAACCUGCUUUUAUAAGCUAUCCACUCGACUCGGUCUUGAGUCAAUCAUACGCGGAAUACCGCACAAAGCCAGGCUCAAGGUGAAGGAUGUCUCACAUGCACCUCAGCCCUAAAUCCACUCAACUGGGAUGCAACUAAAACUCAUACCAUGCAUCAAAUAGUAAAGGUUUACUAUCAUGCUAACAAAUUCGAUCCAUGUUCGAAUAAUAAUGUUCAAUGGCAUUGUUCACUGUUCUUUUACCCAAUCUGUAGCGAAGCCCUAGGGUUCGCCAAUAACUCAUCUUUCAAUCCCAAAGUGGGGAGGGAGCUCCAAGUGCACCCAAGCCCGGGACCGUCUGCGGACCUCCAUGUGGUCCGGACCUCCAAGUGGUCCUAGUCGCACGACACUCCGGAGUACUCGACGACAAUCCCCUCCAUGUGGGGAUUGGAUGGCUAUACCAUCCCAAACGCAGACUGUGAGCUAGAUCUAUCCUCUCCAAGUGAGAAUACCCUACAACUAGGGUCAACAACCCAAUCCAAUCCUCUCCAAGUGAGGAUGCUCUACAACUGGAGUCAACAACCCAAUCAAAUCCUCUCCAAGUGAGGAUGCUCUACAACUAGAGUCAAUGUCCCAAUAACUCAUCGACAACCUCUCCAUGUGAGGGUACUUAGGUUUACUAAGUUCUUUAUACACAAGGCAUUUUCUAAGGGAUUCACCUAUCCCUAGGUUCUCAAACCUCUAGUGUCAAAUACACUACAUUAAUGCCACUCGAUGUGUUCUUGUUUUCCAAUGUCAAUUUCUCUAAUCGACCAAGUUCAACAUGCAUAAUCCAUCCACUAUGUUCCACAAUAUGGCAACAUGUAUAAUUCUUCUAUCAUAUGCAAUAUAUGGCAUCAUGUAUAUGUUUCUAUUUAACAUAAUCCACAAUAUGUUAAUUCACAACAUGUCAUCAUGCACAUUAUAUGAUAUGGCAAUAUACAUUUAAUCAUCAUCCAAAGUAGUAUAUACUUAGCAUCUCAUGCACUCUUUUAGCAUUUAAUUCAUUAUGCAUUACAACUAGCAUGUUCUCUACUUUACGUUAACAUGCAAAUGCCAUUUACCUCAUACACUUAACUAGCAUCAUUUAUAUCACAUCAUCAUGCAUUCUACUUAGCAUUUUGCAUCAUAUUGUCCACAUGCAUUAGCUAUGUCAUUUUAUUAACAUGCAUCAAUAUGAAUUUGUAUGUUUCUUAGACAUAAAGGGCGACCUAGUCGCUUCGGUAAGCACAACCCACCUCAUUUCGCAUUCCGAUUGCUUGUCAACACUUGCAAUCGGCCUCCCGCGGCACCCGGCACUCGGUUUGGCCCGAUCUCUCGCGCGACCACCCGAACGGCCUCCAAUCCACGAUCCGAAAAUUAAAGGUCUUCGGUUAUGUGCCACGAUACUUCAAAUCCAUUUUCAUGAAUUUACGAUAUCGCCUCGGCCCUCCCGGCGGAUCCGAAGCCUAAACGUCCAUUUCUUUAAUAACUUUGUAACGGCUCGUCGGAUUGCCGAACCGUCUUCGCCAACGCGUUCGUUUACCUAGCAAUUAGGUUUACGGAGGGUCAAAUUAGAUCAAACCCUUAUAUUUUACAAAACCCCAUUCGGAGCCCUAAUAUGCAAUUAACCUCAAAAUAAUCCAAAAUUAAAUGGAUCAACAUGCUAACAAAGCUCAUUAGAGGCUAUUAGAACACUUAAAGCUAAGGAUUAAACCAAAUCCCAAAAGCUUACCUCAAUGUGAACGCCGCGACGAAAAUACGCCGCUCCAACGGGCGCACAAAAGCUCGAUCCGUCGCCUCCAACGCGUUCGCAAGCAUCUUCUCCACCAACCCUCAAAUUUUUAGAGAGAGAUUUAGAGAGAUGAGAGAGAUCUCUAGAGAGAGAAGGGAGGGUUUUCCUCCCCCUCCAUGCGCGUGUGUGUGUGUGUGGUGUGUGUGCGGCUGAAGGAGAAGAAGAGGAGUCAACACUCCUCUUUAGUCAACACCACAACACUAUUCACUCUCGGGCAGUUCGAAAUCUGAUAUCUUUCGCCGGAACUCCCUGAACAUCCGUUUGAGCUCAAACUUGACAGUCAUGUUCGGUUUUACUUAACUUAACAAGCUGACGAUCGCUGGUUCAGUUUCGACCCCGUUUGGUCACUGAAAACUGUACCGAACUGCAAUCUUUAUCAGAUAGCUUUCGGAUUUUAUUUCUCACUCUACGGGUGUCAGAAAAAUAUGAAACCUUAAAUCUAGCCUCAUAAAAAUAUUUCGGUCUUAUCACUCCAAUUUUCAUCUAAUUUCUGGAACUUGUGCAUUCCUCUUAUUUAUUCUGUCCCGUUCAAACAGAAAAUUCUAGAUCUCUUUUUCAUUCACCGAUCAGCACAAUCACUUCUGAACUUAUGUUUUACUCUCUAAAUCCAAUAAAAAUAUAGCUCUCACACAUUUUAUUUAAUUUUAAUUUUAUAUUUAAAACCGGUAUAUUACAUCCACGCAACCUCACCAAGAACAUCAAAUAGCUUUCAAAACCAAAUGACACCGUACACUUUAUAAUUUUUAGAAGUCCGGUACCUUACAUCCUUCCCCUGCCUUAAAAGAGUUUUCGUUCGAAACUAUCUCACUUCAAUUCAAUUCAUACCCCAACUCAACUUAUCAAAUAGUCGAGGUUCCAAUGCACUUUGCAUUUCGGAGCUGCCUUUCACUCAUACGGAACUGAUCCAAAGGAUUACUACGAGCUCAUGAUAACCAAAUGCAUCCAAACUUUGCAAGGCAGCACCUCACAAAUACAAUUAUCAGUCUCCGUCUCUCUAUGUGGUAGUGCAAAGUCGAAACCCUUCGGCCGAUACUCUACGCGCGCCAUCAACCACUUGCCCACUUGACAAGCAGACCUCCUUGCAUUUACUUCCCCUUCAGGAAUGCAUUCCAAAUCAAAUCACCGGACAUUUGCCUAAAACCAAUACACGUGCACUCACUUCAUUCAUAAGUGCUUAAUUCUGCAGGCUAGCCUUCAACUUGACGUGACGAUGGCCGAACCUCUUGCGCAUCCAAUUCCAUUCUACGUGCUGGCCAUUAGCUCAAGGCCUUUUGCCCAAAAGCAUCUCCAUUACUAAAUACCAUAUGGCCCGGUCCAACACAAUCAUACCGACUUUCGCACGACUCACACCCAGGCACAUCGCUUCGGAACCAAGUCAAAACUGCCGCCAAUAAGCUACCUCGCCAAAUCACUUUCCUCAUUUUUACCAGUGACCUAAAGGCCUCACCAAUACUCGACUAGGCAUCCAGCUAAAACCAUCUCACAUAUGUCGUAGUCGCCUCUCAGCAAUCCGCAGCGAGACCCUGCAUAUCACAACCGUGGGUGCGAAAUUCCACUUGGAAUUCGCCCGACAUCUCACCAACCAGGAGCAACCAAGAUCCCAAACCGUAUCAAAUUCUGCGGGUGGGUCACAAUCGUACUCUUCAGUAGUACUAUGCAAUCGCAUUACACGCUCUAUGAGCAAUACGUAUCACUUAUCUGCUCUAUGCACCUAUGGCAGCCACUAACCCCACGAGUGAUCCAUGGCCCCUUCACCACUUAGCAUGCGCUGAGUGCUACUACGAACUCACUCUCCCGGCUGAAUCAUAAUCGCACUCUAUCGAAGUACUCCCACACCUCGAAGCCGCUCUAAUAAGACCCUCUAUAGCGUCCCCACAACUGAAAUCGCAGCAUAGCAAUCCCAUCUAUGCACACUGGCCACACCGAUGGCACCUCCCUACCUCCCUUGAGGAGUACUACUAGGCCAAACGUGCUCAACUGCCACUGAUGACCCGUCUCUAAACAGUUGAUCUCUUUCACUGUUCGAUCCUACUCGAAAUGACAUCGAAAUUUUUGACUAACUCGCGUGUUCUCCAUAAUCAUCAUGAGCUCGACUCUCGCAAAUUUUCUACCAUUAUGCUCUGAAGCCUCCGUAUUCGGCCGCUCUAUCUCUACCAGCGAGCUCUCACUCUCGCCACUAGAUUACUUCUAGCACUUCGCUAUGACCGCCAUCUGAUUCUAUAUCCGUACUGGCAGGUACUAGGUCGGCUCCUACAACACAGCAUGCCCGGGAUCUAAUACACCACGUCCAGUCCGGUCCGUUACUAUCUCAUUGCAAACAAUAGUAAUUAACCACAUAACGAUUGCAUGCAAAGCAUCAACGAUUCACAUCAUGCAAAACAAUAUCUUGCAUCAAUAAACUCAUACCUGCAGACUCACACUCGUCCACAGCAGUUCCUCAAAUCUAUGGGUUCGCGUAUCUACGACCAACACCCUCGCCGCGCUCGCCCGCGAACCUUUAGUGCAUGUCCUCAACGCCUCUCUCAUAAGCCACUAGCGCACUGUGGAAGAUGAGGAUAGGCACAUAACAUGUUGCACAUAUUCAAAUAGGCCUUCACUUUCUAUCCAUUGCACUGCCCAAACUGGCAAUUUCGUGCCGAUGGAACCGUCUCCUCCCUGCCCCUGGACGUCCCCGAGACCUUCCCGGCGUCUCGCAGUCCUACGCAUUCGAGGCAACCGAGUAUGCCCACUGAUGGGAACCGGCUCUCCUAGGGACCGUUCUCUCCCCCGAGGGAGCCGUCCCGAGCUUUCCAGCGUGGACUUAGCGAUUUUUCUCUCCUCUUGCUGCCUGCGCGUUCGGACCGGUCUUUCCCGACCUGGACCGUCCCCGAGAGCACAAACCUGCAGUCCUUCGGCACAUUUUGAUCCAAAGCUCCUCGAAAAUCCCAGUAAAUGUCACUUGCAUUAUUUGAGCCUUCGGCCUUUCCGAACGUACCAACCUCCGCACUUUGGUCCACCUUUGACUAAAGUUCGAUACGGUUAAAUCCGAAGUUUCGAUAUAUUCACAUACUACUCGACAACUAGGCCGAUCUCGAACGAAUUCCAACUCUCCGGCUCUCCUGAAAAUUUCACUUCUCUUACAUGCACAAUCACUCGGACCACAGUCCGCCAAGGUCUUCCGCGCUGAGCAUUACCGCUUCACACGCCCGCCACUCACAACGAGAAGUGGCCCAUCACUCACGCGAAGUUCCAAGUCUCCGCUCGUUUCGAUUGCUUAGGUACGCACUACAUGCGCCCAUCCGCACGCCCGAUCGAUUAAGAUCGCUACAGCGGUGGCUAUCGCUUAUCAAGACACACAACUCGUUCGAUCUCGACCUCAGGGUUCGAGCGCCGAAACAACUUCGACACCCGACAUCGAAUCGGCGAAAUGCAUGCAAGGUUCUAUUCUCAAUUACUGCUCGUUUUCAUGUGUGUAGACCCACAUGAACCACCCUGCGUUGAGAAAAACCGCAACCUCGAGUCUACCUCUACCAUCCGUUUUAGAGGUUUACUAACACCGACCCAAUCGAUUCAAUAUUAUCGGCCAUAAUUCACAAGAGUCCUCGGUCUGCUCACGAGCCUGUAUUCCCUAUCGUGCUACUAUCCUAAAGGGUCUCCUAAGGUGCCAUCUAAACCAUUGCCUCAUUCUCUACUUUAAUAGCUCUGAUACCCACUAUACUUCACGCACCCGCAAUCUCCACCGACACCCGCCCCUAUUGGCCGGAGUCGCCGGCCCGCCCCGACAGAAUCUCCGAACGGACAGAGUCUCUCCCCUUUAACUCCUAGGCGCCGCAAUCAAUCACAAGUACAAGCAUUCCACUACACCAAGAACAGUAUUCAAGCAAGAUUCAUAAGACAAGUAAAACCAACAUAACACAUCUUAUGUUAUACAAGCAUUCAUUAAGUCAUCUUUUUACAUCACAUAGCCAUAUUACAUUAAAUAUUUUCUCCCAAAAUACCCAAAUCAAUAUCGCUAAUAUUAAUACAAUGCUUCUCCUCUUUCCCUACUACCCCUAGCUAUCCGAGCCGGGUAACGCUCUAUCUCUGGUCCUACGGGUAGGGCCUAUCUAAUGAGGCUAGCUCCCCGUCCCGCCUUCGCGCCGCGUGCGUCUGCUCUGCGACAGCACGGUGUCGAACAACUUAACACCCCAAAACAACGUGCGGUGAGAACCAACUCCGCAUGGUUCCCAGUGGUACGCGCACCUCAAGGAAAAGCUCGCCCCAAUAGUCUAGAGGAGGCCUGCAACAUGCUUUAGUCCAACAGAUACCAACAGAUACCAUAUAUUCAAUUGAGGUAAAUACAUGUCUGUGGCCCACAACAAUGCAAUUAAAUUCAUGGCAGUCUAAUGGCAACCAUGCCAACUAAACCUAGUAUGUCAAAUCGAUAACUACUUUUAUUCCUGUUAUUCACAGUUCACCACACUUGACUUCUAGAGUUCCUCACUAUCUUAGAUUCUUCAAUUAUAAUUCUGCUCCAUACGGUUUAACGGCUGCUUUCAUAAAGCUAUCCACCCGAACUUCCGGUCUUGAGUCAAUCAUAUCCGGAAUACCGCGAUCAAAGCCAGGCUCAAAGGUGAAGAUGUCUCACAUGCACCUGCGAGGCCCUAAAUCCACUCAAUGGGAUGCAAACUAAACUCAUCCAUGCAUCAAAUAGUAAAGUUUACUAAUCAUGCUAACAAAUCCGAUCCACUGUUCGAAUUAAUAAAUAGUUCAGAGCUUGGCAUUGUUCACCUGCUCUUUUAGCCCCAAUUCUGUAGCGAAGCCUAGGUUCCAAAUAACUUCACCUUUCAAUCCAAAGUGGAGGGAGCCAAUUGCGCACCCAAGCCCGGAACGUCUGCGAUCCAUGUUUCCGACCUCAACCGUUGUCCCUAGUCGCGCGACACUCCGAUCCUCGACGACAAUGUUCCCCCUCCAUGUGGGGAUGGAUGGCAUAAACAUUCACAAAACGCAGACUGUGAGCUAGAUCUAUCCUCUCCACAUCGAGGAUACCUACCAACUACGGCCACACCACAGAUCAAAUCCUCUCCCAAGAUGACGCCUGCUCUACAACUACGAGUCAACGACCAAUCAAAUCCUCUCCAAGUGAGGUAUCUCUACAACUAAAGAGUCCAACACCCAAUCAAAUCCUCUGCCUAAGUAACGAUCCUACAACUAGAGUCAAUGUCUCAAUAACUCACGACAACCUCCUCCAUGUAGGGUACUUACGUUUAACUAAGUUCUUUUACACAAGGCAUUUUCUAAAGAUUCACCAUCCCUACGGUUUCCAAAACCUCUAUGUCACUAUACACUAAAUUAAGCCCACUCGAUGUGUUCUGUUUUCCAAUGCCAAAUUCGCUAAUCGACCAAGAUUCCAACAUGCAUAAUCACAUCCACUAAUGUUCGCACAAUAUGGCAACAUGUAUAAUUCUCUAUCAUAAACUGCAAUAUACUGUCAUCAUGUAAGUUUCAUUAAACAACAAUCCACAAUAUCUUUAACUCACAAUGUGCUCAUCAUAGCACAUAUAUUACUAGCAUACACAUAAUAUAGUCAAUAUACCAUAUAAUCAUGUCAUCCAAAGUAUAUAUUACUAGCAUCUCAUGUCAACUGCCAUACCGCGAGAGAGUUCUGCGAGUCUGUUUUGGCCUCUUUACCAUUUAAUCAUUACAUUUACAACUAGCAUGUUCCUCUACUUUACUUAACAUGCAAAGCCAUUACCGUCAUGCAUUAACUACACAUUUAAAUCACAUCAUAACAUGCAUAUUACUUAGCAUUUGCAUCAUAUUGUCCACCCAAUGCAUACUAUCAUUUUAUUAAACAUGCAUUCAUAUAUGAAUUGUAAUGUUUCUUGACAUAAAGGUGCGAGCUCUACAGUCGUUCGUAAUCAACCCACCUCUCAUUUCCGCAUUCCCAGAUUGCUUGUCACACUUGCAACCGCUCUCCGCGGCACCCGCACCCGAUUUGGCCCGAUCUCUCACCGCGACCACCCCGACACGGCCUCCACAUUCACUAUCCGAAAAUUAAACGUCUCGGUUUGUGCGGUUAUGUGCCCACGCAUGCUUCAAAUCCAUUUCACUGAAAUUUAACAAUAUCGCUCCACUCGCCCUCCGCCUGCGGCCGAAGCCUAAACUGCAUUUUUCUUAAUACACUCUUGUAACGGCUCGUCGAUCGAACUCGCUCAUCGCACAACGCGUUCGUUACUACAAUAAGGUCUUACGAAGGGCAAAUUAGAUACAAACCUUAUAUUUUACAAAACACCCCAUCGGCGCACCUAAAAUGCUAAUUAACAUCUCAAAAUAAUCCGCAAAAUUAAAUGACAACAAUUCUAACAAAGCUCAUUUAGAGGCUAUUAUAACACUUAAAGCUAAAGGAUUAAGCACAUCCCAAAAGCCCUACCUCAAGUGAACGCCCGUGACAAAAAAAAUACUGGGCAGCCUCCAGACGGGCGCACGAAAGCUCGAUCCGUCCGCCUCGAAUUGCGUUCGCCCUACAACCACUCUUCUCGCACCAACCCUUCACCAAUUUUUAGAGAGAGAUUUAGAGAAGAUGAGAAGAUCUCUAGAGAACGCAGAAGGAGGUUUCAUCUCCCCCAUGCACGUGUGUCUGUGGUGGUAAUGUCUGCCGUUGAAAGGAAAGAAGAAGAGAGUCACACUCCUCCUUUAGUCAAACACCACAUAACUAUUCACUCCGGGGGCAGCCUGAAUCUGGAUAACUUGUCGCCGGACUCGCCUGAAUUGUCCGUUGACCAUCAAACCUGACCAUGUCGUUUUUACUUACUUAACAAGCACGAUACACUGUCAAGUUCGCGACCCUCACGUUUGUCACAUGAAACUGUAACCGAACUGCAAUCUUUAUCAGAAUAGCUUUCCGGAUUUAUUUCUCACUCACGGUUCAGAAAAAAUAAGAAACCUUAAAUCUAGCCCCAUAAA
rnacentral:lncRNA from 1 species